rnacentral:rRNA from 1 species
CAUUUUAUGUGGUAUUAAUGAACUGCAAAGGAAUAUGAUUUAUCUUAUUUUAUAUUUUUGCACCUUUGGAAUUCGUUUUCUGAUAGUGGAAUAAGUUUGUGUUUACUUUGAGAAAAUUAGAGUGUUCAAAGCAGUCUUACGGCUUAAUAUUAAAGCAUGGAAUGAUAAAUAAUGACAUCGGUUAAUUUUUGUUGGUUUGAGAGGCUGAUGUAAUGAUUUAUAGAGUUAGUCGGAGGUAUUAGUAUUUUGUCGUUAGAAGUGAAAUUCCGGGAUCGACAAAAGACUAACAACUGCGAAAGUAUUUGCCUAGAAUUUGCUCCUUGAUCAAGAACGUAAGUUGGGGGAUCGAAGACGAUCAGAUACCGUCGUAGUCUCAACUUUAAACUAUAUCAGCUAGGGGUUGGCAAAUGUUUAUAUGACUUUGUUAGAACCUUAUGAGAAAUCAAAGCGUUUGGGUUCCGGGGGGAGUAUGGUCGCAAGGCUGAAACUUAAAGGAAUUGACGGAAGGGCACCACAAGAUGUGGAUCCUGUGGCUUAAUUUGACUCAACACUGGAAAACUCACCAGGUCCAGACAUAGGUAGGAUUGACAGAUUGAUAGCUUUUUCUUGAUUCUAUGGGUGGUGGUGCAUGGUCGUUCUUAGUUGGUGGAGUGAUUUGUCUGGUUAAUUCCGUUAACGAACGAGACUAUCACUUACUAAAUAGUACAUUUUUUUAAAUAGAAUAUUUGCUUCUUAGAGGGACUGGUUUUGUAUAAAUUGCUGGAAGUUGGUAGCAAUAACAGGUCUGUGAUGCCCUUAGAUGUUCUGGGCAGCGCACGGGCUACAAUAGAAGAGUAAGUGAGUUUGUUCGACUUAGCUCGAAAA